CGUUCUAUGGCGAAAUGGUAAAGGCAUCGCCGAUCACAAGCGAGGUUGCUGGUUCGAGUCCCGCUGGAACGG
rnacentral:tRNA from 1 species